AGUAACACGUGGGUAACCUGCCCAUAAGAGGGGGAUAAUAUCCGGAAACGGGUGCUAAUACCGCAUAGUUUUCUUGAUCGCAUGAUCGGGAAAGGAAAGACGGCCUUUGUGCUGUCGCUUAUGGAUGGACCCGCGGCGUAUUAGUUAGUUGGUGAGGUAACGGCUCACCAAGACGAUGAUACGUAGCCGACCUGAGAGGGUGAUCGGCCACAUUGGGACUGAGACACGGCCCAAACUCCUACGGGAGGCAGCAGUAGGGAAUCUUCCGCAAUGGACGAAAGUCUGACGGAGCAACGCCGCGUGAGUGAAGAAGGUUUUCGGAAAUCGUAAAAACUCUGUUGUCAGAGAAGAACAAGUUGGAGAGUAACUGCUCCAGCCUUGACGGUUAUCUGACCAGAAAGCCACGGCUAACUACGUGCCAGCAGCAGC
rnacentral:rRNA from 1 species